UAGGCGUAAAUGAUGCGAGUUAAGUGUGGGGGCAUCUACGAGAUGGCCCUGUGCUGUAGGGUAGCCGUUAAACUCGCUGCCUGGGGAGUACGGUCGCAAGGCUGAAACUUAAAGGAAUUGGCGGGGGGAGCACCACAACGGGUGGAGCCUGCGGUUUAAUUGGACUCAACGCCGGGAAGCUUACCGGAUAAGACAGCGGAAUGAUUGCCGGGCUGAAGACCCUGCAUGACCAGCUGAGAGGAGGUGCAUGGCGUAGUCGUGU
rnacentral:rRNA from 1 species